UGCAAUCUUUAAUGAUUUUUCUUUAGUAUUUUGAUUAACAUGUAAUUAUUUUACUAAAAUCACCAUCUUUCGGCUGAGAUUGCA